rnacentral:tRNA from 1 species
GAAUCCGUGGCGCAACGGUAGUGCGUCUGACUCCAGAUCAGAAGGUUUCGUGUUCA